UACGAAGGGGGCUAGCGUUGUUCGGAAUUACUGGGCGUAAAGCGCGCGCAGGCGGUCUUCCAAGUCAGUGGUGAAAGCCUGGAGCUCAACUCCAGAACUGCCAUUGAAACUGUUAGACUUGAGUACGAGAGAGGUGAGUGGAAUUCCCAGUGUAGAGGUGAAAAUUCGUAGAUAUUGGGAAGAACACCAGUGGCGAAGGCGGCUCACUGGCUCGUAACUGACGCUCAGGCGCGACAGCGUGGGGAUCAAACAGG
rnacentral:rRNA from 1 species